rnacentral:rRNA from 1 species
CUUAAAUUGAAGAGUUUGAUCAUGGCUCAGAUUGAACGCUGGCGGCAGGCCUAACACAUGCAAGUCGAGCGGAAACGAGUUAUCAGAACCUUCGGGGGACGAUAACGGCGUCGAGCGGCGGACGGGUGAGUAAUGCCUAGGAAAUUGCCCUGAUGUGGGGGAUAACCAUUGGAAACGAUGGC